UACGUAGGGUGCGAGCGUUGUCCGGAAUUAUUGGGCGUAAAGGGCUCGUAGGCGGUUUGUCGCGUCGGGAGUGAAAACUCAGGGCUUAACCCUGAGCCUGCUUCCGAUACGGGCAGACUAGAGGUAUGCAGGGGAGAACGGAAUUCCUGGUGUAGCGGUGAAAUGCGCAGAUAUCAGGAGGAACACCGGUGGCGAAGGCGGUUCUCUGGGCAUUACCUGACGCUGAUGCACGAAAGCUGGGGGAGCAAACAGG
rnacentral:rRNA from 1 species